GGUGUAGCGUAGUGGUAGCGCAGGGGACUGUUAAUCCCUUGGUCGCUGGUUCGAAUCCAGCCAC
rnacentral:tRNA from 1 species